CCUACGGGAGGCAGCAGUGAGGAAUAUUGGGCAAUGGAGGCAACUCUGACGCAGCCAUGCCGCGUGAGUGAAGAAGGUUUUCGGAUUGUAAAGCACUUUCGGAUGUGACGAUGAUGACGGUAGCAUCUAAAGAAGCGCCGGCGAACUUCGUGCCAGCAGCCGCGGUAAUACGAAGGGGGCAAGCGUUGUUCGGAAUUACUGGGCGUAAAGGGAGUGUAGGCGGUUUAGUAAGAUAGUGGUGAAAUCCCAGGGCUUAACUUUGGAAUUGCAUUUGUAACUAGUAGACUAGAAUUACAUAGAGGGUAGUGGAAUACCCGGUGUAGAGGUGAAAUUCGUAGAGAUUUGGUAGAACACCAGUGGCGAAGGCGACUAUCUGGCUAUACACUGACGCUGAGGUUCGAAAGCAUGGGGAUCAAACAGGAUUAGAUACCCGAGUAGUC
rnacentral:rRNA from 1 species